UACAGAGGGUGCAAGCGUUAAUCGGAUUUACUGGGCGUAAAGCGCGCGUAGGCGGCUAAUUAAGUCAAAUGUGAAAAUCCCCCGAGCUUAACUUGGGAAUUGCAUUCGAUACUGGUUAGCUAGAGUGUGGGAGAGGAUGGUAGAAUUCCAGGUGUAGCGGUGAAAAUGCGUAGAGAUCUGGAGGAAUACCGAUGGCGAAGGCAGCCAUCUGGCCUAACACUGACGCUGAGGUGCGAAAGCAUGGGGAGCAAACAGG
rnacentral:rRNA from 1 species